CAUGUAUUUCCUUCCUCCGAAAAAGCUUGUCACAAGCUUAUUCCUCAAAUGAAUGUAUCUAUCACUAACUUGGUGCUAGAUACAUUUAUUUGAGGGACAAGCUUUUCCGGACGGAAGGAGUAGUUC
rnacentral:pre_miRNA from 1 species